rnacentral:rRNA from 1 species
UACGUAGGGGGCAAGCGUUGUCCGGAUUUAUUGGGCGUAAAGAGCUCGUAGGCGGUUUGGUAAGUCAGGUGUGAAAUCUCCACGCUCAACGUGGAGGGGCCACCUGAUACUGCCAUGACUGGAGUCCGGUAGAGGAGUGUGGAAUUCCUGGUGUAGCGGUGAAAUGCGCAGAUAUCAGGAGGAACACCGGUGGCGAAGGCGGAUCUCUGGGCCAUUACUGACGCUGAGGAGCGAAAGCGUGGGGAGCGAACAGG